rnacentral:rRNA from 1 species
AUUGAACGCUGGCGGCAUGCUUUACACAUGCAAGUCAAACGGUAACAGCACUUCGGUGGCUGACGAGUGGCGAACGGGUGAGUAAUACAUCGGAACGUGCCUAGUAGUGGGGGAUAACUACUCGAAAGAGUAGCUAAUACCGCAUGAGAUCUAAGGAUGAAAGCAGGGGACCUUCGGGCCUUGCGCUACUAGAGCGGCUGAUGGCAGAUUAGGUAGUUGGUGGGAUAAAAGCUUACCAAGCCGACGAUCUGUAGCUGGUCUGAGAGGACGACCAGCCACACUGGGACUGAGACACGGCCCAGACUCCUACGGGAGGCAGCAGUGGGGAAUUUUGGACAAUGGGCGCAAGCCUGAUCCAGCAAUGCCGCGUGCAGGAUGAAGGCCUUCGGGUUGUAAACUGCUUUUGUACGGAACGAAAAGCCCUCUUCUAAUACAGGAGGGUCAUGACGGUACCGUAAGAAUAAGCACCGGCUAACUACGUG